AUCAAGCCGACGAGUCCCAAACAGGACGAAACGCGUGUCCUAGAU
rfam:Schistosoma rodhaini strain Burundi genome assembly, scaffold: SROB_scaffold0003979